rnacentral:tRNA from 1 species
GUUUUUAUAGCUUAAUUUAAAGCAUGAUUUUGAAGAAGUUAGUAUGAAAGUUUUCUAAAAACA